UGGGGAAUAUUGGACAAUGGGGGGAACCCUGAUCCGGCAAUGCCGCGUGUGUGAAGAAGGCCUGAGGGUUGUAAAGCUCUUUUACCAGGGACGAUAAUGACGGUACCUGGAGAAUAAGCCCCGGCAAACUUCGUGCCAGCAGCCGCGGUAAUACGAAGGGGGCUAGCGUUGUUCGGAAUUACUGGGCGUAAAGCGCACGUAGGCGGAUUGUUAAGUCAGAGGUGAAAUCCCGGAGCUCAACUUCGGAACUGCCUUUGAUACUGGCAAUCUAGAGUCCGGAAGAGGUUAGUGGAAUUCCCAGUGUAGAGGUGAAAUUCGUAGAUAUUGGGAAGAACACCAGUGGCGAAGGCGGCUAACUGGUCCGGUACUGACGCUGAGGUGCGAAAGCGUGGGGAGCAAACAGGAUUAGAUACCCAUGUAGUCCCUGAGCGGGCUGGCAAGGCGCAU
rnacentral:rRNA from 1 species